GAAUUGCGAUAUGUAAUGUGAAUUGCAGAAUUCAGUGAAUCAUCGAAUCUUUGAACGCACAUUGCACCCUCAGGUCUUUUCCAGAGGGUAUGCCUGUUUGAGUGUCGUUGACCCAUCAAUGCAGACAAGUCUUUUUUGAUUUGCUUUCUGUACUUGGAGGUUGAAGGCUGCCGGCGUCAUGGCCAGCUCCUUUUAAAUUUAUUAGCGGGACUUUGAAGACUCGGCUUCAGUUUGAUAAUGCAUCUAUGCUGUUGCCGAAGAACGUUUGUCUGGCUUAUAGCUGUCCUUUUGGACUGUCUCUUUAGAGGCACAACGCAAAUCAACUCUUGACCUCAAAUCAGGUAGGACUACCCGCUGAACUUAA
rnacentral:misc_RNA from 1 species